rnacentral:rRNA from 1 species
ACGGGUGAGUAAUGUCUGGGAAACUGCCCGAUGGAGGGGGAUAACUACUGGAAACGGUAGCUAAUACCGCAUAACGUCUUCGGACCAAAGUGGGGGACCUUCGGGCCUCACACCAUCGGAUGUGCCCAGAUGGGAUUAGCUAGUAGGUGGGGUAACGGCUCACCUAGGCGACGAUCCCUAGCUGGUCUGAGAGGAUGACCAGCCACACUGGAACUGAGACACGGUCCAGACUCCUACGGGAGGCAGCAGUGGGGAAUGUUGCACAAUGGGCGCAAGCCUGAUGCAGCCAUGCCGCGUGUAUGAAGAAGGCCUUCGGGUUGUAAAGUACUUUCAGCGGGGAGGAAGGCGAUGUGGUUAAUAACCGCGUCGAUUGACGUUACCCGCAGAAGAAGCACCGGCUAACUCCGUGCCAGCAGCCGCGGUAAUACGGAGGGUGCAAGCGUUAAUCGGAAUUACUGGGCGUAAAGCGCACGCAGGCGGUCUGUCAAGUCGGAUGUGAAAUCCCCGGGCUUAACCUGGGAACUGCAUUCGAAACUGGCAGGCUUGAGUCUCGUAGAGGGGGGUAGAAUUCCAGGUGUAGCGG